rnacentral:tRNA from 1 species
GCCGAAGUGGCGGAAUUGGCAGACGCGCCGGACUCAAAAUCCGGUGCCCGAAAGGGUGUGUGGGUUCGAUUCCCACCUUCGGCACUA